AAUCAGGAGGCUGGACCAGGCUGGGACCAAUCAGGAGGCUGGACCAGGCUGGGACCAAUCAGGAGGCUGGACCAGGCUGGGACCAAUCAGGAGGCUGGACCAGGCUGGGACCAAUCAGGAGGCUGGACCUGACUGGGACCAAUCAGGAGGCUGGACCAGGCUGGGACCAAUCAGGAGGCUGGACCAGACUGGGACCAAUCAGGAGGCUGGACCAGGCUGGGACCAAUCAGGAGGCUGGACCAGACUGGGACCAAUCAGGAGGCUGGACCAGACUGGGACCAAUCAGGAGGCUGGACCAGGCUGGGACCAAUCAGGAGGCUGGACCAUCUCACUGUUUGGUUCAGGGAGUUUUUCUCUGACCUUAAACCCUAACCCUAACCUGAACCAUGACACCAAGCAGAAGAUUAAACACACUGUUGAAAAAAAA